rnacentral:rRNA from 1 species
AGUGAACGCUGGCGGCAGGCCUAACACAUGCAAGUCGAACGGCAGCACAGUAAGAGCUUGCUCCUACGGGUGGCGGGUGGCGGACGGGUGAGGAAUACAUCGGAAUCUACUUUUUCGUGGGGGAUAACGUAGGGAAACUUACGCUAAUACCGCAUACGACAUACGGGUGAACGCAGGGGAUCUUGCGACCUUGCGCGACUGAAUGAGCCGAUGUCGGAUUAGCUAGUUGGUGGGGUAAAGGCCCACCAAGGCGACGAUCCGUAGCUGGUCUGAGAGGAUGAUCAGCCACACUGGAACUGAGACACGGUCCAGACUCCUACGGGAGGCAGCAGUGGGGAAUUUUGGACAAUGGGCGCAAGCCUGAUCCAGCCAUGCCGCGUGCGUGAAGAAGGCCUUCGGGUUGUAAAGCCCUUUUGUUGGGAAAGAAAAGCAGCAGGUUAAUACCCGGGUGUUCUGACGGUACCCAAAGAAUAAGCACCGGCUAACUUCGUG